GGAUAUAGCUCAGUUGGUAGAGUGCUUGCCUAGCAAGCACAAGGCCCUGGGUUCGAUCCCCAGUAACA